rnacentral:misc_RNA from 1 species
AUCCAUCUCAGAUGCUCAUGUAUUCAAAAAUUCAAGAUCUGCUCUAUAGUGCCUCUAAGCCUGACUCAGCGAAAUGAAUGAGAAUUCUUUGGGAUUAAUCCCUUAUGAAUUCUAAGGUCUAGGAGCACAAUGACAUUGUAAAUUAAAAUGUUGUUAGUUAAGUUGCUUUGUUGUCUGAUAAUGUAAGAAGCUGUUUCUCACUGGAUCUUCA